rnacentral:rRNA from 1 species
AUGCAUAUGAGGGCCAUUAGCGCGGCAGCGAGCGGCAAUGGCAAAGCCAAGGUGGUCAUUGUGAUGGGCGCCACGGCCACCGGCAAGUCCAAGCUGGCCGUGGACCUCGCGCUGCGGUUCGGCGGCGAGGUCGUCAACUCGGACAAGAUCCAGGUCCACGACGGCCUGCCCGUGGUCACCAACAAGGCCACCGUCCGCGAGCAAGCCGGGGUGCCGCACCACAUGAUCGGCGGGGUGCACCCCAACGCCGACUACGCCGCGGCGGAGUUUCGGCGCGACGCCACGCGCGCCGUGGAGUCGGUCCUCGCGAGGGGCCGCCUGCCCAUCAUCGCCGGCGGGUCCAACAGCUACCUCGAGGCGCUGCUGGACGGCGAGCCGGGGUUCCGCCGGCGGUACGACUGCUGCUUCCUCUGGGUGGACGCCGACACGUCGGUGCUGGAGCGGUACGUCGGCGACCGCGUCGACUGCAUGGUGGAGCAAGGGCUCGUCGGCGAGGUGCGGGAGUUUUACCGGGCGGACGCGGACUACUCCCGUGGGAUCAGGAGGGCCAUUGGCGUGCCGGAGAUGGACACCUACUUCCGGCAGGAGGCGGCAGGGGCGCUGGAGGGAGACGAGGAACGACGGGCCGGGCUCCUUGAGGCCGCCGUCGGCGAGAUCAAGGAGAACACAUGCAGGCUGGUGUGCAGUCAGCUCCGGAAGGUCCACCGCCUGCGAUGCCUGCCUGGGUGGAGCAUCCGCCGCCUCGAUGUCACCAGGGUGCUUUCGCUCAAGGUCGGGAAGGCGACGGACCAAGAGGCGGAGCGCACCCUGUGGGAGGCGGAUGUCGUCGGGCCUGCCGCGUGCGUCGUUGACAUGUUUAUUCGCUCUCCUGGAGGGAUGGUGGCGGAUGUGAGCACGGAUGGGAAGGAGCUAAGCACGGGGGCCAAGCAUGCAGCCGUCGCCGGAAUCGUCGAAGCGGCCGACAGGUGUGGUCUGCAGCUACUCGAGACUGGGCCGACGUCUCGUGGGUUUCAUCCAAGGAAAGCGGCCGCAGCAGUUUGA